GGAAAUAUUUUAGGUUGUUCUAAAAGGAGUCGGCACCUCAAGUUCAUAGCCUGCAAGUUCUGCGGCCAGGCGGUGUCUCAUCCACCUCCUGAUGCUGUGCCUGGUUCUCAGCAACAUUGUGGUUGUGAGGUGGAAAAGGAACCGUCAUCAUUAACAUUAACACAGCACCUGCUAAUGAUAAUGCAGAUGCCUUCACACACACACACACACAAACUUACAAAAAAAACCAUGACAAGGUUAAUAAAAGUUUUUUCAAUGUCAAA